GAAUGGGCUGGAAUGGAGGUGCUUUAGCUGCACUCUAAGGUCUAAGAGUAAACUCAUGUUUGUUAUAGCUGUUUAAGUCAAGUUGUGUGUGGAAUGGAUAUACAAGCUACUAUUGAAGUAUAGUUAUGCUUUGGUUAUACUUUUCCCUUUGAAGUGUAAAGGGGCUAAUUUUUACUUUAGCUUUGGUUUAUGCCCACUGUUGUGUUAAUGAUUGUUAAUGGACAAUCAUUGUACUUGCUGGCACGUGUGUGGAAUAUGGAAAGGGUAAACUUCAAGAUAAUGGAGCUGGCUUCCAUUUUUAUCUGUAACUGGAGGAAAUGUCCUUUUCCUAAAACUGGUAAAAUGCAAAGACAAGUUGUGGACAAAAAUCAUAAUUUACCAAGAUGCCAAGGGCUACUCCUAUAUAGCCAAUGAUGCUGGAAACCUCAAAGGGAGUGCAGUCAUCUGCUUUUGCAUUGUUAGAGGGAACAGCGCUGUAUAUAUUCAGAAUAGUAACUGCUCUUCAGCUCCUGUCUGUACUACAAAGAAAAACCAUUUGUGAUUGAACAGUGAUGAUUAACCCUUUACAGUACCCACUGCUCAGCAAGUCAUGCUAACAAUCUUUGCAUACUAGCCCUGUGAAACUAUUCCAAAGCCUGCAUAAAGCCACUAAGUAACUGACAAUAGCUCUGUGUCAUGCUAUUUCAGCUUUAAAGACCUCCGGGUACUUACUAUGCUCAGUUCCCAGAAGAAGUGCUUCUGAAAGAUUUUACAUUGCACAUAUUAGUGGGAAAACCAUCAGAAUCAUUUAAUCU